CAGCAGCCGCGGUAAAACAGAGGGUGCGAGCGUUAAUCGGAUUUACUGGGCGUAAAGCGUGCGUAGGCGGCUUCUUAAGUCGGAUGUGAAAUCCCUGAGCUUAACUUAGGAAUUGCAUUCGAUACUGGGAAGCUAGAGUAUGGGAGAGGAUGGUAGAAUUCCAGGUGUAGCGGUGAAAUGCGUAGAGAUCUGGAGGAAUACCGAUGGCGAAGGCAGCCAUCUGGCCUAAUACUGACGCUGAGGUACGAAAGCAUGGGGAGCAAACAGGAUUAGAUACCCCGGUAGUCCCUGUCUCUUAUAA
rnacentral:rRNA from 1 species